UAGGGAAUCUUCCACAAAUGGACGCAAGUCUGGUGGAGCAACGCCGCGUGAGUGAAGAAGGGUUUCGGCUCGUAAAGCUCUGUUGUUAAAGAAGAACGUGGGUAAGAGUAACUGUUUACCCAGUGACGGUAUUUAACCAGAAAGCCACGGCUAACUACGUGCCAG
rnacentral:rRNA from 1 species